GAUGAACGCUAGCUACAGGCUUAACACAUGCAAGUCGAGGGGAAACGGCAUUGAGUGCUUGCACUCUUUGGACGUCGACCGGCGCACGGGUGAGUAACGCGUAUCCAACCUUCCCAUUACUGUGGGAUAACCUGCCGAAAGGCAGACUAAUACCGCAUAGUCUUCGAUGACGGCAUCAGAUUUGAAGUAAAGAUUUAUCGGUAAUGGAUGGGGAUGCGUCUGAUUAGCUUGUUGGCGGGGUAACGGCCCACCAAGGCUACGAUCAGUAGGGGUUCUGAGAGGAAGGUCCCCCACAUUGGAACUGAGACACGGUCCAAACUCCUACGGGAGGCAGCAGUGAGGAAUAUUGGUCAAUGGACGGAAGUCUGAACCAGCCAAGUAGCGUGCAGGAUGACGGCCCUAUGGGUUGUAAACUGCUUUUGUAUGGGGAUAAAGUUAGGGACGGGUCCCUAUUUGCAGGUACCAUACGAAUAAGGACCGGCUAAUUCCGUG
rnacentral:rRNA from 1 species